rnacentral:tRNA from 1 species
GAGGGUGCAGCUCAGUGGUAGAGUGUGUGCUUAGUGUGCACAAGGUCCUGGGUUCAACCCCCAGCACCUCCA